CAAGACCAGAUGUCUCAUUUCGCCUUCAAUUUUAAUGAUACUUCAAGCACAUCCUUAAAGAGCAAUGUGAGUUCGAAAGCCCUGCUCUAUUGUAAUCUCUUGAUUUUUCACACAUCAACGGUAUUUUUUAUGCAAGUGUCUCGGUUCGAUAGGGUCAUGAAAUUGAGAAAAACGAAGAUAAAGUUUGCCCAGACGUCAGGGAUACAUAAAGUGACAUGAUAGUGAUACUGAUGAAUUUUUUUUUAUGAAAACUUCAGAGUCCGUCAAGACGGAAUUGUGUCUGCGUAUCAUUAAUCACAAUCAAAUUAAGUCAAUUCAAUAAUUGUCACUUAUACUAUGAUGUUAUCGAUAAGGCCCUCAAACAUUUUUUAAUGGUAAGCCCACAUUUCUUAUGCAAAAAUACCAAAUGGGCGGAAAUCAGAUGGCUUUUUAAAAAAAAGGGGAAAAAAACCUCAAGUCAUGUUUUGUGGGAAUGAGGCAAGGGAAUCAGGGGGGGGGGCGUAAAUGGGCCUGCACUUGUUGAAUAAAGGUUAAAAAGGCCUGAAGCAAAACAAUACUACAGAUUUACUGACACCCAUUGAGCUUUUGAGUAGAGUCAGUCGUCUAGUUUAUUAGAAAAGUAAUUCGAUGCGAGUACAGACUUCUCUCUCACCAUAAUGAGGAAACUUUCGGGUUCCUGGACAACUCUGAAAAGCUCGGGGGAUCAAAAAUAGUAAGCCUUGGGAACUGACCAGCUCAGGCUUCAACCUCUAAAUCUUCAGUGAUCAUAACAGGCAAUAGCCUAAGAGUUGAAACAUAUCUUUUUCUUCUGAAUUUCCAAGAUCUGAUAAACCGAUAAAAAUCCACUUUAUCUCCUAUCAACAUACAUCAUCUUCUUCAUUUUUUUUUUGAUAACGCUUCAGUUCUUACUCUCUUUCGGUUAACAUUUUCAAUCUCGCCGGGAGCCUCGGCCCGAUCGGAUCUCUUGGUCUUGGUUUGUUAUGUCUCAAGGAUACUCUGGCUUCAAGUAUGAUUUUCUUCUUGAUCAAGUUCUAUCUUUCCUCAACUCAACUGCUUUUCUCACGGACUCUUGGUGUAGUUGUCUAUCAGUCAUAGUUUCAUAGCCUCUAUCAACUUAUUUCUCACAGAAUGGAACCCAAUAGUGACGUAUCCUGAGGACGAAUAUAAAUCUUACGAAGAUGAGGCUCGAUGGUUAUGAAAUAAAAUAAAUGUACAUGACAAGAGUAAAGACGAGGUCAGAAUCAAUAUUCUUGUUGAGGAAAAUCCCUUGCUAGUGAGGGGGAACUUUUUAAUACUGUAUAGUGUCAAAUACAGCAUUUAAAUAAUAAUAUGUGAUAUGUAAAAUAUAUAAGAAGCGUGUGUAAGUAAUUUUAGUUUUCAAAAUAUAUGGAUAAAUAUGAUUGUUAUUGUGCGAGUUUUAA